CAGCUAGUUGGUAGGGUAAAGGCCUACCAAGGCUACGAUCCAUAGCUGGUCUGAGAGGAUGAUCAGCCACACUGGGACUGAGACACGGCCCAGACUCCUACGGGAGGCAGCAGUGGGGAAUAUUGGACAAUGGGGGCAACCCUGAUCCAGCCAUGCCGCGUGAGUGAAGAAGGCCUUAGGGUUGUAAAGCUCUUUUAGCGGGGACGAUAAUGACGGUACCCGCAGAAUAAGCCCCGGCUAACUUCGUGCCAGCAGCCGCGGUAAUACGAAGGGGGCUAGCGUUGUUCGGAAUCACUGGGCGUAAAGCGCACGCAGGCGGAUUGAUAAGUCAGGGGUGAAAUCCCGGAGCUCAACUUCGGAAUUGCCUUUGAUACUGUCUAUCUUCGAGUUCGGGAGAGGUUGGCGGAAUUCCUAGUGUAGAGGUGAAAUUCGUAGAUAUUAGGAAGAACACCAGUGGCGAAGGCGGCCAACUGGCCCGAUACUGACGCUCAUGUGCGAAAGCCUGGGGAGCAAACAGGAUUAG
rnacentral:rRNA from 1 species